rnacentral:rRNA from 1 species
AUGAUCGUCACCCUAUGGGCGAUUUGGGCUGCACGGAGGAAGUUAAUACAUGAGGGGAUUUUCCAAACACCCUUUUCAACUCAUGGUUUCAUAUCAAGCUACCUGUCGGAGCUACAGUUUUUGGAGAAGCCAGAGAAGGAGAAGAAGGCACCGGCCCCUAGACCGAAUCAGUGGAUCCCUCCGCCUGAAAAUCACAUGAAAAUCAACGUUGAUGCGGCUGUUGCGCAACAUGGUGGUUUUGGGACGGUUUCGGACAUAUGUAGAGACGGCAGCGGGGAGUACCAAGGAGCGUCGGUGAUCCAUUUCAAUAAUGUUGAUGAUCCAGAUACGUUGGAGACCUUGGCGAUUCGUGAAGCUUUGGCCCUUGCUGAGGACCUGCUCUUCCAUGAUAUUUCAGUGGCAUCGGACUAUAAAGUGGCGGCCGAAGCAAUCAAGAGAGGUACAAGUGCACAAUAUGGAGCCGUGAUACAUGAAAUAAUAGACCGCUUUAGAGUUUUUUCUUCUUGUUUGAUUAAUCAUGAGUUUAGGACCUUGAAUGUUGAGGCUCAUAAGCUUGCAAAGCAUGCGUUAUUCCUGGGUUUUGGCCGCCAUGUCUGGUUAGGUCACCCAGGAAAUUUAGAUUUCGUCCCUGUAAACAUUUGUGACGGAUGA